rnacentral:tRNA from 1 species
AUGUGAGAAGCAAAAUUUGCAAUCAGUUUCGACCUGAUCUUAGAUAAUCAAUUUAUCCUCACUUU